rnacentral:lncRNA from 1 species
GUUUUUUAAAGAACGUUAUUAUAUGGAGCAAAAACUUCCUUCCCUAGAAUUUUCUCUCAGUGCUUAGAACUCACCUUUUGAAAUGGCCCCAGAACCGAGUUCAAGUUCUCUUCCCCUUGUCUUUCAGAAAGCUGAAGAUGGCUGUGGUGUCUUACUCCACCAGGACUCCCCUUUCCAGGUAAAACAUCUUCCACACUUUAAACAGCCAUAAAGCCUAGUGUGAUGGCGCACACCUGUAAUCCUAGCACUCGGGAGCCAGGAGGAUCACCAUGAGUCCGAGGCCAAUCUAGACCACAUGAAGAAACACAUCUAAAACAUUGAGCUGAGGCUGGGCCACCAAAGCAGGGCAAAGGCCCCUGCUCUCCAUGCCAAGAUGAAGCCACAGGGCUCCUCUGGAUCUGAUCUGGCUCGGCCGUGUCCACAGCAUGCAGAGUUACAGUUAAAGUCUUGGCAGUGCCAAUACACACAGGGACAGCCAUGGGGCAGCUAAGCCGUCCUGACUCUGUCCCAGAGCAAGAGUGUGUGCGGGCUAUGGUACAAGAAUUGCCUGCUAAACUGAAGCUCCUGCAUUGUUUGUUUCCCCAAGAGGGGGUAAAGAAAUCACAAAACAAACAACCAAAAAUAUGGAUGGUUUGUGUUUGUUUUUAAUGCUCUUUGGACUGUCUAUAGAAUGAAAAUAGGUACACCUAAUAAAUAUUUUGUCAUUUAUAGUGUGGGGAAUUAGGUGAAUAAAGAGAUAGACAGAUAGAUGGAUAGGACAUUAUGAGCUCUGUGGUUUUAUUGCAUAUUUUGAGUCUCAGGGAAGUGUUUGGGGCUUGGCAGCAUAAGCGCACAGGUGCUGACAGGUGAUUCCAGGAGUGACUGAGAACCACAGGUCCUGUGGUGAGGUGAGUCUCUCCACUGAAUGGCAUGACCAAGUGCCCAUGGAUGCCUAUGAC